rnacentral:rRNA from 1 species
GGCAGCAGUGGGGAAUAUUGCACAAUGGGCGCAAGCCUGAUGCAGCAACGCCGCGUGAGGGAUGACGGCCUUCGGGUUGUAAACCUCUUUUGGUAGGGAAGAAGCCUUCGGGUGACGGUACCUGCAGAAAAAGCGCCGGCUAACUACGUGCCAGCAGCCGCGGUAAUACGUAGGGCGCAAGCGUUAUCCGGAAUUAUUGGGCGUAAAGAGCUCGUAGGCGGUCUGUCGCGUCUGCUGUGAAAUUCCGAGGCUCAACCUCGGGCUUGCAGUGGGUACGGGCAGACUAGAGUGCGGUAGGGGAGAUUGGAAUUCCUGGUGUAGCGGUGGAAUGCGCAGAUAUCAGGAGGAACACCGAUGGCGAAGGCAGAUCUCUGGGCCGUUACUGACGCUGAGGAGCGAAAGGGUGGGGAGCAAACAGGCUUAGAUACCCUGGUAGUCCACCCCGUAAACGUUGGGAACUAGUUGUGGGGUCCUUUCCACGGAUUCCGUGACGUAGCUAACGCAUUAAGUUCCCCGCCUGGGGAGUACGGCCGCAAGGCUAAAACUCAAAGGAAUUGACGGGGACCCGCACAAGCGGCGGAGCAUGCGGAUUAAUUCGAUGCAACGCGAAGAACCUUACCAAGGCUUGACAUACACCAGAACGGGCCAGAAAUGGUCAACUCUUUGGACACUGGUGAACAGGUGGUGCAUGGUUGUCGUCAGCUCGUGUCGUGAGAUGUUGGGUUAAGUCCCGCAACGA